rnacentral:rRNA from 1 species
GACGAACGCUGGCGGCGUGCUUAACACAUGCAAGUCGAACGGAAAGGCCCUGCUUUUGUGGGGUGCUCGAGUGGCGAACGGGUGAGUAACACGUGAGUAACCUGCCCUUGACUUUGGGAUAACUUCAGGAAACUGGGGCUAAUACCGGAUAGGAGCUCCUGCUGCAUGGUGGGGGUUGGAAAGUUUCGGCGGUUGGGGAUGGACUCGCGGAUUAUCAGCUUGUUGGUGGGGUAGUGGCUUACCAAGGCUUUGACGGGUAGCCGGCCUGAGAGGGUGACCGGCCACAUUGGGACUGAGAUACGGCCCAGACUCCUACGGGAGGCAGCAGUGGGGAAUAUUGCACAAUGGGCGGAAGCCUGAUGCAGCAACGCCGCGUGCGGGAUGACGGCCUUCGGGUUGUAAACCGCUUUCGCCUGUGACGAAGCGUGAGUGACGGUAAUGGGUAAAGAAGCACCGGCUAACUACGUG